CGCUACACAAACGCUUCAGAUAUGUCGUACCAACAAGGCCAGAAGUCAGCCCUUGAUAAAAGAGCCAGUUGAACAAGUAAUUAACUGCAGGAAAAGAGAGAGUUGGGCUAGUUGGUUUGGGUUCAUUAUGAAGCAGCGCAAAAGACAAAAGACACAGAAGAUUUAACAACUCGAGAGCUGAAGCAAACGGCAAUGAGCGAGGUCAAAACUGCCGGAUUAGUGAAGUCGAGGUUGACACACAUAAAAGAGCCAGUUGAACAAGUAAUUAACUGCAGCAAAAAGGAGAGUUGGGCUAGUUGGUUUGGGUUCAUUUUGAAACAGCGCAAAAGACGAAAGACACAGA